rnacentral:rRNA from 1 species
GACGAACGCUGGCGGCGUGCUUAACACAUGCAAGUCGAACGCUGAAGCUUGGUGCUUGCACUGGGUGGAUGAGUGGCGAACGGGUGAGUAAUACGUGAGUAACCUGCCCUUGACUCUGGGAUAAGCCUGGGAAACUGGGUCUAAUACUGGAUAUGACAUGCCACUGCAUGGUGGUGUGUGGAAAGGGUUUUACUGGUUUUGGAUGGGCUCACGGCCUAUCAGCUUGUUGGUGGGGUAAUGGCCUACCAAGGCGACGACGGGUAGCCGGCCUGAGAGGGUGACCGGCCACACUGGGACUGAGACACGGCCCAGACUCCUACGGGAGGCAGCAGUGGGGAAUAUUGCACAAUGGGCGGAAGCCUGAUGCAGCGACGCCGCGUGAGGGAUGACGGCCUUCGGGUUGUAAACCUCUUUCAGCUCGGAAGAAGCGAGAGUGACGGUACGUGCAGAAGAAGCGCCGGCUAACUACGUG